CCUACGGGUGGCAGCAGUGGGGAAUAUUGGACAAUGGGCGAAAGCCUGAUCCAGCCAUGCCGCGUGUGUGAAGAGGGCCUUCGGGUUGUAAAGCACUUUCAGUGGGGAAGAAAGCCUUGGGGCUAAUACCCUCGAGGAAGGACAUCACCCACAGAAGAAGCACCGGCUAACUCCGUGCCAGCAGCCGCGGUAAUACGGAGGGUGCGAGCGUUAAUCGGAAUUACUGGGCGUAAAGCGCGCGUAGGCGGUCUGAUAAGCCGGUUGUGAAAGCCCCGGGCUCAACCUGGGAACGGCAUCCGGAACGGUCAGGCUAGAGUGCAGGAGAGGAAGGUAGAAUUCCCGGUGUAGCGGUGAAAUGCGUAGAGAUCGGGAGGAAUACCAGUGGCGAAGGCGGCCUUCUGGACUGACACUGACGCUGAGGUGCGAAAGCGUGGGUAGCAAACAGGAUUAGAUACCCCAGUAGUC
rnacentral:rRNA from 1 species